CGUGAUUUCACCCUUGGAACUGGACUUCACCACUUUGAUUCCUGAUUUUGAUUUUGAAGAAAGUGAUUUAUAGCUACACACUACAAAGGUCAAGCCAGAGAACAGAAUAAAUAAAAUAAAGCAGGCCCAAGACGACGCUAAACGGAGUGCCCGGCGUUUUGAUUUCCACCCAUUGCCUUGGUUUUUUGGCAUGAAGUGCGAGUAACUUGGUGAGAAAGCUAACCAUUUACAUAAAGUUUAGUUCGUUACAUCGAAUUUAAUAAAAAUAAUACUAAUUAACUUUCCCCCAUAGGAUGCACUCAUGCGCAGGGAGGGCCCCGAGAAUGAAAAUGGGGAAUAGGAAUGGGAAUGGUGCAACCUUGGAAGAACCCAGCGCUCUAUGAUCAUGAUCACGGCCUCUGUCCAUCAUUUUACUGCGGCUUACCGGCGCCAGGACGCCCUGAUAGGUCUCCUACGCUUGCCGCGCAUGACCCGUUGGGCGCGCAGAGGAGGAGGCAGGUCGUUCCAGCACCGGGACGCCGCAAAUCUGAAUGAUCCGCGAAAAGCUGCUGUGCGAUGUUUGGGUGUAGCAAAUAUCUCCACAUACUGCUGUCGUUGAGUAAGAUAGCUAUGGAACCAUCGAAUGGAGGAGCUAUCUAGACCAUAAUAACGCAGCUUGGAGAGAAGCAAAGGAAUAUUAAUAGAGUCGAACGCGCGCGAGAAGUCCAGCAGCACAAGCAUCGAAACCAUCCCUCCAUCCUGAGCAGCGAGAAGGUCAUCAAUAACAUCCGAAAGAGCAGUGGCCGUCCCAUAGCCUUUGCGGAAUCCCGAUUGACGUCCCGGGAGCAACCCCUGCUCCUCAAGGUAUUUAGUUAGUUGAUUACAAACUAUACGCUCGAGGAUCUUGGACAAGCAUGGUAGGAUGCUGAUAGGCCUUAGGUCCCCAACUGAAGCUGGGUGACUAGUCUUUGGUAGUGGCCUUACAACUGCCACCUUCCAACAGUCAGGAAAGAUUCCAUGCAAUAUUGAACCAUUCACCAAGUCGGUAAGCGCUUGAAGUGAGUAAGGCAAUGUGAGCAUUAGCAUAUCCAGUGUGAUGCCAUCACUUCCCUGGGCAUUAGAUUUAAGCGCUGUGAUGGUUUUUAAAACAACUUCUGGGCUAACAGUAUGGAGUGAGAAUGAUACAAGGUUCCUAUGUCUGUGGUAUUCAUAAUAGGUUAAUUUAGAGAUCGACACAUUGUUUUCCCCAGGCACGUUGAGAAAAUGAUGAUUAAUUGAAUCAGGGUCAUUAAAUAUUGGAGGAAGCUCACAAGCACCUUUCCUGUCCGGUAGCACUGUAUUUUUCAGGUUUUUCCAAAGCUGUUUAGGAUUUUUUGAGUUACUAUUGAUGUGGGUUUUAAAGAAGCAGGUUUUUUCUUUCUCAAUUGCAUCAACCACCAUCUUCUUCAUCAUUUUGUAACCAUCUCUAAGAGCAGUGGUUCCAUUUUUCUUGUACCGCUUGUGGUAAUCGUCCCUAACAUGUAUCAUUUCCUUGAUGGUAUCUGUUAUC